UGAGGUGUUAGUAAAAUAUUACAUAACCUUGUCGAGGUUAAAUUACAAGUGAAAACCCUGUACAUCUCA
rnacentral:tRNA from 1 species